GGAGAAUCUAUGGAGUUGGCUGUGAUAAGAGCAAGUCAUGAUGUUCCUGUACAUCUUAGGAUGGUGGUGGAGGAGGUCACAUCAGAUAAAUUAUACAGAUGGCCACUUUGGAAGGAAUGAUGACAUUCGAGGAUAGUAACAUCUUAAGAGUUGCAGGCAAUGGGAAGAUGUAUGGUGGUUCUAACAUGCAAUGCGAAUUAAGCUAGUUGAUCAGUGCUAACUUGAGUCUGCUAUCUAUUUU
rnacentral:misc_RNA from 1 species